UAUGCUAAAUUAAAAGCCACAAACUGAUAAAUAGGACUGUUGCAGUAAUGGAUUGAGAUCAUGAAUACUGCUUUAUUCAAGGUCAGAUACAAUCUUUAAAAAUCAUGUCCAGAGGGAAAAGUCCAACAUGAAAGUGGUAAUUAUGUUAUUUAAAGUCUAGUUUAAAAGGAGAACAGUGUAAAAUAUAAUCUGUUCUGGUUUUGUAAACCUACGUAAAUAUUCCAAUGUUGCUCUAUCUAGUAGAGAUAGGAGAAAUGUAUAAACACAAACAAGAAGCAGGCACCUUGUCAACUGAUUUAUAUGGGUUUGAUUUUACUUACUGAAGUGGGAUUUUAGUAUCCAGAGAAUUAGUGAGACAGUGGUUCUAAAAGCAUGUGUGUAGUAUUUCUAAAUAUCAUACACAUAUUGCAUAUUAUUGAAGGGGAAGAGAGAACAAAAUGCUUCACUAAGCAUCUAAACAUUUGGUCUCUAGCAUGUGUUCUGUUGCUUAUUAAAUAGGUAUCUUCAGUAAAUCAAUGAAAUAUUUUUAGCUUUAGUUUUCUCAUUCCACCAAAAGAAAGAUUGGUAGCUUUUUUUUUUUUUUUUUUUGGCAUUUUAGGGCUACACCUGGAGCAUAUGGUAGUUCCCAGGAUAGGGAUCCAAUCGGAGCUAUAGCUGCUGGCCUACACCGUGGCCACACCAGAUCUGAGUCAUGUCUACAACUUAGACCAGAGUUCAUGGCAACGCUGGAUCUGUAACCCACUGAGUGAGGCCAGAGAUCAAACCCGCAACCUCUCAGUUCCUAGUCGGAUUUGUUUUCGGUGUGCCAUGAUGGGAACUCCUGUGUUGGGUAACACUUUUAAGGACCAAUCUAACACUAUGAACCCUAAAUAUCACAAUUAUGCUACAUAAUUUACAUAUAUUAUUUAUGUAUUUGUAUAUGUUUUCCUGUAUAUAUGCAUAUGCAUAUGUAUGUACACACAGGUUUUUCAGAUAAACAAAUCAUUAGACUGCUGUGGUAGCACAACACAAAGCUAUGGAAAUUUUUUCCUAAUUCUGAGAUGGAGAAAUAUAAUUCACACAGAAGUUCAGUUUCACAAUGCUACUCAAGGAAUUCACAAAGAAAUCUAAAGUUCAGGUUUGCAAAAUGAAUCAGGAUAUUCUGUGUGUGGAAUGCCAAGUGGAACUUUUGAAAAUGGAACAUGCUUUAGGUGAGAGGAGCUCAGUCUCCAUUAGCAAUAAAAUAUCAAAUUCAACCUAAGUACAGGCCUAUAGAAAGGCCUAUUGCUACAAUAUCAAUAGGAAGAUAUAUUUCUAGGGGAUUAUGAGAAUUAUGUUAGCCUCUGUUGCAAUAUGUUUCUCAGUGGAUUGAUAUUAAUAUGAACUUUUGCAGUCUUCAGAUUUUUCAUUAGAAUAAUGUGUUUUUUUCUUCAAUGCAUCAUGCAACUUGAAAUGUUACAUCUGAAUAGAAAAUUUACCUUCUUCAAAGAGUCUACAGCAUCACUGCUUUCAGCCAAAUAUUAGCAUAUUUCUUCAGUCAUAAACAUUAUUUAAAUACAAAAAAAGGAAGAAAGAUAAUUUUAAAAAAUAUACAUGGGCUGUACAUUUUUUACAGUGCUAAGGAACUGAAAUAGCUAUGGGCUGUCAAGGGCAAGAAAGAAUAACUACCUAAAGAGCAGUGCUGGAAACACAGUUGUGGGCAGGUCAUAGAUCCAUCAUGACUAAUUAAGUUGAAAUAUUUCUUAAAUGCUGAUGUUAAGAAAAUGUGUGAAAGACUUUUUGAGCAAAUCUGAAAUCCUUUUCUUUAUAUAAAUUAUUUUGGGAAUUAUAAGGCAAAAUGCUCUGUAGUUGGGAAGAGAGUCCACUGGACUGAAAACUGGGGAGACCAAGAGUCUAGUCCAUAUUUGGGGUGAGGAUUUAACAACUCAGACUUUCACAUUCUCAUGUGAAAAAUAAGACUGUGAUCUUUAAGAAUAUUUGCAUGGCAUUUGUGUUAAAAAUCACUUGUAAUCAAAAAUCUGAAUAAUUGCUCUUGCUAACAUUUUAAGGUUUCUUCCUAUUACUGCCUGGGACACAGAAAUGAUAUCAAGUAGGCAUGACCUUGAUCAAAUGUAAACUUUUGAUUCCAUCCAUGAGUUCAUCCAUUACCCAACUAACUGAUCAUGCAAUGUUUAUUAAGCACCACUGUAGGCAAUUCAUUGGUUGAUCUAGAAAAUCCAAACAUGAAAAAUGAAGUAUCUCUGCUCUCAUGUGCCCUAUAGUUUAAUGGAGAAGCUUAUCCCUUAAUACACCCAGGUUGUACUCUUAUACACUUUUUUUUUUUAUAUAAAGUAAUGGCUAAGCACAUUGGCUCCAAGUCAGGUCUAGGAUUCUAAUCCCAAUUUUCUACAAGUUGUGUCAUCUUCAACAAGCAUCUUUACUUUUCAAAGCCCUGUUUCCCUUAAUAGCCAUAUGUGCACUAAAAUAAUUGGACUGUGUGAUCAUUAAGUUAAAUCUUGAACAUAAAGCAUUUAGAAUAGUAUCUGGUAUGCAAUAUGUGCUAAGUAAGAAAACAUUAACUAUAUUUCUUUACACUUUUUCUUACUCUGAUCUUAGUAUGCUUCCAUCUAGUAGUUCAUCCAUUACCCAACUAACUGAUCAUGCAAUGCCCCAUCAUUCAGGCCUUGGGGUUGGCCUGGUCCACAUAGUUAAAUCUUGAAAUCUCCUGUUGAAAUAAAUAUCUUCACAGCACAUCAACAUCAGACAAACACACUCUUUGAUCAUAUGGAAUUAGAAAAAAACAAGAAUACUUCAUAAUUAUGUAUGAAAAUAGAUAAAAUUAUGAACAUUGUGAAAACUGAAAAAUGAUCAAACACUCCCAAAGUAUCCCCCACUUUCUUGCAGCAUCUAAUACAGAGUGAACCCCCUGUUCCUUAUACUUUCCCCCAAAACACCUAAGCCUCCUACUGAAAUCUCCCAUAACUCCCCAUGGUAUACGGUUGUCCAUGCUGCACCAAGCAAUAAACCCAGCUUUUAAACUAUAGGUGUGUUCCUAGAGGUCAAUGACUGGAAUGUUUUAACACACCUGCGUGUUACCUCUCUUGCCUCCACAUGUCAUUAUUCUUCUUUCUUGUUUUGCACUAGUCUUUCAUUCUACUUUGACUUCCUUUUCCUGUCACCACUUUCAUGUUAAAUGUUUAUGGAAUGAAUAUUUCCUUUCUGUGCAUCUUUUUUUUUAAGUUUUAAUGAAGUAUAGUUAAUUUACAAGGUUAUGAUAAUUUCUGCUGUACGACAACGUGAUUCAGUCAUACAUAUGCACAUAUUUAUUCUCUCUCAGAUUAUUUUUCCACAUAGAUUAUCACAGAGUACUGGGUAGAGUUCUCUGUGCUAUACAGCAGGUCCCCAUUGGCCAAUCAUUCCAUAUACCUCAGUGUGCAUAAGCUAAUCCAAUGUGCAUCAAAUUGUUAAUGAUUCUUCUUUAUCAUAGGUCUAACCCAGGCUAUGGAAAAAUUGCCUCAGGAAAAAAAAUUGGCUCACCUUUCUGUUAGACAAAGAGAUUGUAUAGCAUCAAGAUUUCUGAUAUUGAAAUCUUUUAGAACUUGGGCAAGGACUAAACUUGGGAAAAUAUAACUUUGACUGGUUUGAAAGAACACAGGGAGACCGCUAAGAAUUUCUGACUUCGAAUAAGGGAGUAAAAACAUGCAUAUAGUUUUGCUCAUAUUUUUAGUUAUAGAUCUUGUUUUCCUUAUAUUUUUUAUAUUUGAGCUCAGUUAUUAUUUUAACCUCACCUAGAUCUGUGUAUUUCUUCAAUCUUCUAUAGUUUCCAGUUGGUGAUUUUGGGGUUAUAAAUACGCAUGCAGUUAACUGGGUUGAAAACAUACACCAUAAAAUCAAAGCUAACUUAAAAUGUAAAUUUUAAUUGUUUUACCCUACCCUAAGUAGCCAAUUAAAAUUUCAGUGGAAAUUAGCUCUCAUUUAGGGAGUUUGUAACCCUUUGUCAAAUAGAUUUGCCAUUUUUUUCCUUUUGAUUUGUCUUUCUUUUAUUCAUUUAGGUAAAUGUGAAACCACCUAGAAAUUAAAGAUGUUUCAGCAUAGACAAAGCUGCUGGUAGACACAUGAGAUAUGGAAACAAAGACUUUCAGUUUUCUCUUGCUCUAAAUAGUCAGUCUUGAGAAUUUUUGGUAAUAUCUUCUCUAUAAAUAUUUGUAGUGACUGAACUUGGAAUGCCUAAGAUGUUGUAUUUCAAUAGGAUAGUGUUACUGAGGGAAAUUGUUCCAAAUGCGAACAUAUGGAGGUAAUUUUAACCUUAAUUCCUACAUGUUCUAAAAUAAAAAUGAACUGGACAUAAACCUUAUGAUUCCUUUGGGCUGAAGGUGUCCAAAAUCAGUGUCUUAUCUUAACAGAAAGCAUCUGAAUUUCCCUUUUGAUAGAUGACUAGAUAUAGUAUAGCUCCAAGUGACUGGAGGUAAAUGGACAGAAUUUCUUAAUUCGUUCCCAUCUGCAUUCUAUUAGUGAGGUCUUCCUUAGAUUCUAAGGUCAGGCCUUUAGCUUCCAGAUUCAUAAUAGCUUUGCGGUAUUUUUUAGAGAGCUUCUCAGUCAUGGAAGGAAGAUAUAACAUAUAAUUAUUUAUGUAGCACCUAAGGUAUUCAUUGGACUGUGGGUCAAGUGCUAUCUAGAAAGUAUGUAUUGAAAGUUGAUUAAGACUUGAAAGGCUUUCCUGAUAAUGAGUGGAAAAGGGGACAUGAUAUCAUCAUUCCAGGUAAGAAGAAAAAGAGAAAGGGAUGGUUGGUUAUUGUAUCUAGAGUACUUGGCAAUAUAGAUAAAACUGAGCUAAUUCCCCAAGGUAGGAUCACUGUACAUGUAUUACUUCAGGGAUAGGAAAGGAUUUUAGAAAACUUGGAAGACUUUUAAGAACAUUCCCUUAUUCAGGGACCUAGUAUAAAACUCCAUUGUGAAAAAUAGCCUUGAGUUACCUCAAGUAAAAUCAAUAGUCUAAUUGCCAUCCUGUAUACCUAUGGCAUAAACCUGACUGCCUAACCAGAAAACUCAGAAACUGUAAAAUACAUUAAAGCUGGUGGAAUUCAUGUGUCCAUUUUCACUACUAUAAGGCAUUAAUGAGAGAAAUAGAGAUAAGCAGACCAGAACCAAAAUACAAGUUGUGGGAACUGACAAGAGUAUCAUAGACAAGACCCAGAUCAACUUAGACUUAAUGAAAUUUUUAGCCACAGAUCACCUUGUUGGAAAGGUGAACAUCGAUGGGUUAAAUAGCAUUUGAAAAAAAAAUUCAGAAAUAUUCCAAGGCUGGAAGUUCCCACACAUUGUGGCACAGUGGAAAGGAGUCCAACCAGUAUCAGUGAGGAUGUGGGUUCAAUCCCUGGCCUUGCUUAGUGGGUUGGGAAUUCAGUGUUACCACUAGGGAUCUGGUGUUGCUCUGAGCUGUGGUGUAGGUUGCAGAUGUGACUUGGAUCCUGCAAUGCUGUGGCUUUGGUGUAGGCUGGCAGCUGUAGCUCCAAUUCAACCCCUAGCCUAGGAACUUCCAGAUACCAUGGGUGCGAUCCU
ensembl:lncRNA